CUCUCUUUUGACCGCAGACAUUGAAUACAAAACCCACACACACCAACAAUAUGAAUUGUCAACAGUAUGCUACAAAUUACACUCAGUGGCCAGUUUAUUAGGUACACCACCUCGUUCACAAAGAUGUUUUGCUCCUACAGACAGUGAGUCAUGUGGCCACGGCUUGCUAUAUAAAGCAGGCAGACAGGCACCGAGGCAUUCAGCUACUGUUCGAUUGAAGGUUAGAAUGGGCGAAACAAGUGACCUCUGUGACUGAGUGUGGUAUGUAUCUCAGAAAUGGCCAGCCUCCUGGGCUUUUCACACACGACAGUGUCUAGGGUAGGGCUUCCCAAACUCGGUCCUCGGGACCCAGAGGGGUGCACGCUGAAGGUUUUUGCCCUACCACUACAUAGCUGAUUCAAAUAAUCAACUAAUCAUCAAGUUUUGAUCAUUUGAAUCAGCUGUGUAGUGCUAGGCCAAAAUAACAAAACGUGCACCCCUGCACAUCUAGGGUUACUGUGAAUGACGCGCCAAACAAAAAACAUCCCGUCAGGGGCAGUCCUGUGGGUGAAAACAGCUCGUUGAUGAUAGGUCGGCAGUCCUGUGGGUGAAAACAGCUCGUUGAUGAUAGGUUGGCAGUCCUGUGGGUGAAAACAGCUCGUUGAUGAUAGGUCGGCAGUCCUGUGGGUGAAAACAGCACGUUGAUGAUAGGUCGGCAGUCCUGUGGGUGAAAACAGCACGUUGAUGAUAGGUCGGCAGUCCUGUGGGUGAAAACAGCACGUUGAUGAUAGGUUGAAGGGGAAUGGCAAGAAUCCUGCAAGCUAACAGGCGGGCCACAGGCAACUAACGAUGCAGUACAACAGUGGUGUGCUGAACGGCAUUUCGUAAACGCACCACUCAUCGGUCCUUGUCACCGACGGGCUAUUGCAGCAGACGACCACACUGGGUUCCACUCCUAUCAGCUAAAGACAAGAGGAAGCUGCUCCAGUUGGCACGUGAUCAACAACACUGGACAAUUGAGGAGUGGAAAAACAUUGCAUAGUCCGACGAAUCCUGGUUCCUGUUGCGUCAUGCUGAUUGGCAGAGUCAGGAUUUGGCGUUAGCAGUAUGAGUCCAUGGUCCCAUCCUGGUGUAAUGGUGUGGGAAAUGUUUUCCUGGCACACAUUAGGUCCCUUUUAUACCAAUUGAGUAAUAUUUCCAUGCCCCAAAGAAUUCAGGUUGUUCUGGAGAAAAAGGGGCGACUGACCCGGUACUUGAUAGGUGUACCUAGUACACUGGCCACUGAGUGUAAUUAUUGUAGGGUUGUCAGACCCCAUGCCACCUGUAGUCGGUGUCUACAUGUACACAUACUGACCUAUGCACACACACAAACUCACCAAUACGCAGAAACACACUCCUAUACCUCGGCACAAACAGGCCACAGAGGUGCAGUGUGUUGUAUCUAUCCAGAAGCCUGUUGUCCAAUGGAUCCACCUAAUUAACCUGGGAGCAUCUGUAGAAUUGAUCUACAGGAAGGAGAGGCCUUCCUCCGUAGCGUAGCUUCUAUGUGUGUGUCCAUGAGUUUGUGUGGUGUGGGUCAUUAAUUACCUCCAGAUUGGUUUGGUUAAUGAAGCAUGCUUGCUGGUAUAUACCACUGCACAUCAGUAAAGCUGAAUACGGCUGAGGUAAUCAGAAGCGAAGUCCUGUGUCCAAUCGAUCAGGACGCUAGACCAAGGUGACAAUACAAUUACAAAUACAGCACAGGUAGACCAUAGCCACAAAUCAGCUAUUGCUUAGCCACCCCUCACAGCACAGGUAGACCAUAACCACAAAUCAGCUAUUACCUAGUCACCCCUUACAGCACAGGUAACCCAUAGCCACAAAUCAGCUAUUACCUAGCCACCCCUUAAAGCACAGGUAACCCAUAGCCACAAAUCAGCUAUUACCUAGCCACCCCUUAAAGCACAGGUAACCCAUAGCCACAAAUCAGCUAUUGCCUAGCCACCCCUCACAGCACAAGUAACCCAUAGCCACAAAUCAGCUAUUGCCUAGCCACCCCUCACAGCACAGGUAACCCAUAGCCACAAAUCAGCUAUUACCUAGCCACCCCUUAAAGCACAGGUAACCCAUAGCCACAAAUCAGCUAUUGCCUAGCCACCCCUCACAGCACAAGUAACCCAUAGCCACAAAUCAGCUAUUGCCUAGCCACCCCUCACAGCACAGGUAACCCAUAGCGAUAGAACAACACACCUGUUGUGUUAGAGGGUCCUAAAAUCCAGUUGAGAUACAACAGCCGAGACAAGAGGGUUUUAUGCAGUUAUGGAAUGAAGUUUUCUUGAUCUGAACCGUCUAGUUUUAGAACGUCUCAAGUCGGUUGUUGGAGGUUCAACAUGUCAAAUCUUAGCUAAAGACCUGGGAUGAGACAGAUCCGUUUAGCCAAUCAGAGAGCAGUGUGCUGAAGUUCUGCGUUUAGUCAGGCAGAUUGCUAGCUAGUUAUUUUGCUGCUGUUAGUGAGCCUAGUUUGCUGACAUUUAUCCGACAAGUCACAAAAGGCGCCCGGUUUCUGAUGCAUGUAUUUCAUGAUACAUGUUUUCUACAACACCGUGCUACGACAAGUGGAAACGCUGUCUCAAAGUUGUAUCGAGUCAUUGACCUGCUGUUACCAUGGAAACAGUCUCAACCGCUCGUCUCCUGGCCAGUUUUGUCUCGUCCCUCCUCACGUCGGCUGUUGUAUCUGAGCCGGGCUUUAGGAGCACUGAGAUCUGGAGCUCACUCUGAGGCCUGGCCUGCUCUGGGAACCGGUCUGAACCGUAGAGCACUAGGCAUUACUGGGUCAGAACUGACUUGGGACCAGUGUUAUCACUGAAGCUGUUAUACACUCCACGGGUCCU